rnacentral:rRNA from 1 species
AGGGUUUGAUCCUGGCUCAGGACGAGCGCUGGCGGCGUGCUUAACACAUGCAAGUCUAUUUGAAGUUUGGUGCUUGCACUGAAUGGAGGAUGGCGAACGGGUGAGUAACGCGUAGACAAUCUGCCCUUCAAUCCGGGAUAACCCUGUGAAAACGGGACUAAGACCGGAUGGUAUCUCUCUCUCGCAUGAGAUUGAGAUUAAAGACCUUGAGUCGUUGAAGGAUGAGUCUGCGUGACAUUAGCUAGUUGGUAAGGUAACGGCUUACCAAGGCUAUGAUGUCUAGCUGGUCUGAGAGGAUGAUCAGCCACACUGGGACUGAGAUACGGCCCAGACUCCUACGGGAGGCAGCAGUGAGGAAUAUUGCGCAAUGGGGGCAACCCUGACGCAGCAACGCCGCGUGUACGAAGACGCAGUUAUCUGUGUAAAGUACUGUUAAUCGGGAAGAAGGAGUCUGUUAGCAGCAGACUUUGACUGUACCGGUAGAGGAAGCUCCGGCUAACUCCGUGCCAGCAGCCGCGGUAAUACGGGGGGGAGCGAGCGUUGUCCGGAAUCAUUGGGCGUAAAGGGCAUUCAGGUGGGUCUUUAAGUCAGUUGUUAAAU